CCCCUGGAGCCAGGGCUAAGACACCCAAAGCAUCCAGGCAAAAAGACUCUAACAAUGAGUGGAAAACAACAUUCUCAUCAAGCAAGACCUCCUUCACCAAAGGCAGGGUUUCGAUCCUGAGGAAUAAGUACGCCAUCUCCUGGGGCAAAUCAUCCAUCUCCUGGAGCAGAACCACAGUAGCUUUGGGCAACACCGGCAUAGCGUUGGGCAAAACAUCCGUCACACGAGGGGAGACCACCAGCUCCCUCACCACUCUGACACUCACUCAUGGGACCAAGUCUGUGUCUGUGGUCAAAACCACCCUCAUCAGGGGCAAGGAGAGGCUCAGCAACAUCUACUGGGAUUUUAAAAACGUGAAUCCGUCGCACACUUAAAAAAUUUCACCAAGGAUGUGUCAGCCUGGUGUGUUUUAGCAGGUUAGUAGUACAAAGAGCUGCUCCGUUUGUGAUCAGUGUGUGUCAAGAGUUACACGUCAAUAAGAACAUGAACCUGCCUGCACACAGUACAAGUGCCAAUUCUCAGUCUUGGCAUAACCAGCAGGAUCAGAUGACACAGGCAGCCAGUGCUGUGCUUAUCAUCCUGGACUGUUGGGGAAGAAGUCCUGUCCUGGAUCGUCACCAAGGGAAAGAAUGCCUUGUGCUCUUGAUGAAUAUUAAGAUACGGAUAAUAAUAAUAAUAAUUUUGGCCAAAUCCAAAUAGAGUAAAAGAUGAAAAAAAAAAUGAAAAAAAUGAAAAACUACAACAGGGUGUCCCUCUCUCUCUCUCUCUCUCUCUCACCCAUCCCCUCUGUGGACAAGAGUAAAGGCAAAGUGUUUCGUGGUCAGAGGAGGUGUUAAGGGUUCAGGGUGUACGAUGGACAGUAAAGGAUGUUGGGCUGAGAAGCGGCGAGAGUGUAAAUCAGAUGUUGUGAGAAAUAAUGGGGUGAAAACGGCGAGAGUUGUGGUGAGAGAUGAGGCAAAUCUGCGAGAUGAGAGACGUCCAAAUGUUCAGUCAAACCUAAAAAAACAGAAACUUCUGCUGUAAUCUCACAUACUUGACAAAAAAAAAAAUGAAAUGCAAAAGGAGGCUACAAAGAAACGGAACUAGAAAUAUAAAAAUCUAUCAGGGGCACAAAAUGAUGCAACUGUCACUGCCUCUACUAUUACUCAGAGGGAAAAAAACAAAGAGCUACCCACUUGCAGAGGCACGUCCAACUGAUGUGAAUAUGUAUUUGUGUUUACUAGAGUACAGAACAUCUUAUUCUCCCCUCUCGAGCCACAACCCCCCCCCCACCCCCCCCUCAGAGAAGAGCUCCAACCUCGGCCAAGCUGCAGCACAUCGCCCCUCCUCUCCUUCUCCCGCCCCCUGCUCCUUUAGUUGACAGGGAGCAAAGCUCAAGGGCCUCAGACCCGUCAAGUCUCACUCAUCUUAUCUCAUGUUUUCGUAGGUUCACCGCGUUCACAUCGACGUGAUCCUCCAGUCGCGGGUGGCGGCGCGACAGCUCUCAGCCAAGACUGAGGCCGAGGAGCCAGCACAAUUCUAAAAACAUCAGAGUGCAGCGUGACGCCUGUGAACCAACUUGUCUUGUGAGCGCUGAUCCAACAACAGUGUGUUAAAUUUAGCCCAGAUAAACAAAGUGCAAUUUUUAGGUCCCCCCCCCCCCCCGACUGCAGACCGCCUUGUUGAGAUCAAACCUGUUGCUAGUGGCAACGGCACAGUGGGAGCUGCUGUCCCUGUGGACGUGAUAAGUAAUAUCACCGAGUCUCUACGACUCUUUGGAGCCAUUAACACUAAAUUCAGUUAAACAACAUUGAGACUGAAGCCUCUGCAGGAUGAUCAAAUGUUAAAAGUGUUGGGCCACAAAACCAUUUGAAUACAUAAAGUCAAACACGUCCUGUUGAAAAACUUUGAAAAUUCUGAAUUUGGUAUGGUUUUUCUUUUCUUUUCUUUUUUCCGAGUUCUGGAUUCAGUUUGUUUACAGACGCACAGAGGCCUCGUGCAGAAACUGUUUCCCUGUGGUGGUGCAAGUGUGUGAUCAGGUUUCCCUUUGUUAUACUCACUUUGUCUAUUGCUGUACAUACGUGUCUCUAAUUAAAAAACAAUUGUGUCCAUUAAAAGUACGACACUGUAAACAAGGAUCACGAAAACCCCGAGUGGACAUUAGAUCAAGUAAAAUUCACAUUUAAAUAUUACUGUGAUGGAACAUUUGACAACAUGUGAAUUUCUUGGCCCCUAAAAAAAAAAUAACCUUUUUCUGAAGUCCCACAAAAUGUUAAUUUCUGUGUGUUCUGAUUGUAUGUUAAACAUGUAUGAGUGUGAGAAAAAAAAGACGGAUUUUAUAUAUAUAUAUAUAUAUAUAUAUAUAUAUAUAUAUAUAUAUAUAUAUAUACACACACACACACACACACACAUGUAUUAGGGGAAAAUAAACGCUUGGCUUGGUGUACUAAUCGAGGCACUAACGUCAGCUAAGCUACUGAGGCCUAGGCAGCAGAUCAAACUGUGGAAAAGUAGCCGAGGACUCGAGUCAGCACCACAUCCUGUAUCCUGCAUCCAGAGGGUCACCGCUGAUUCAGAGUCUCUCUCCCCUCUUUCACUGCACGUUCACAAACAUCCUCCUCUGACUACUUGAAUGAACUCUGACCAGAACGGCAUCAAGAUGAAGAACAUUAAAAAAAAGAAAAAAGGUCAGAAACAUCACGAGGGAGGAGAUGCAGGACGCCUGGAGGAAAAGUGCCCCUGAAGUGAACUUAAUCAAUGUCAUGUUGUUCAGUAGAAAACGGAAAAGAAUCUGUGCAGUGAGUAUUACUGAUGAAAAGCUCUUUGAGAUUUAUUUCCGUCUUGUCCAGUGUGUUUGUCCUUAAAAUUCUUAGUCUUAGCCGAGUCAGGUCAAACUGAAAACAACGACGUUGUUGCGCCCUCGCUAAUAACUCUCUGUGUCGUGAGUCCGUUGUGAGAACUUUUUUUCUCCCUUUGUUGCAUGCUCUGUGUGAUCUUGUGUGUUUUGCUCCACUGCACGUGUCACUAAACUGCAAGAAAAAAGAACCUUGGACUGAGAGGUACUGGAAUAAAAACGCUUGAUUGUG